UACGUAGGGUGCAAGCGUUGUCCGGAAUCAUUGGGCGUAAAGCGCGUGUAGGCGGCUUCGUAAGUCCGUUGUGAAAGUCCAGGGCUCAACCCUGGAAUGCCGAUGGAUACUGCGGAGCUAGAGUCCGGAAGAGGCGAGUGGAAUUCCUGGUGUAGCGGUGAAAUGCGCAGAUAUCAGGAGGAACACCAAUGGCGAAGGCAGCUCGCUGGGACGGUACUGACGCUGAGACGCGAAAGCGUGGGGAGCAAACAGG
rnacentral:rRNA from 1 species